rnacentral:rRNA from 1 species
CCUACGGGUGGCAGCAGUGGGGAAUAUUGGGCAAUGGGCGAAAGCCUGACCCAGCAACGCCGCGUGAAGGAAGAAGGCUUUCGGGUUGUAAACUUCUUUUGACAGGGAAGAGCAGAAGACGGUACCUGUCGAAUAAGCCACGGCUAACUACGUGCCAGCAGCCGCGGUAAUACGUAGGUGGCAAGCGUUGUCCGGAUUUACUGGGUGUAAAGGGCGUGUAGCCGGGCUGACAAGUCAGAUGUGAAAUCCGGGGGCUCAACCCCCGAACUGCAUUUGAAACUGUUGGUCUUGAGUAUCGGAGAGGCAGGCGGAAUGCCUAGUGUAGCGGUGAAAUGCAUAGAUAGCACGCAGAACCCCGAUUGCGAAGGCAGCAUGCCGGCUUCCGACUGACGCUGAAGCACGAAAGCGUGGGGAUCGAACAGGAUUAGAUACCCGAGUAGUC